GUCUAUGGACAGACCUCCCUAAAAAUACCUAAUCUCUUCUGAUGUUGGAAGCUAUGCAGGGCCAGCCCUGGAUAAUAGUUGGAUGGGUGAUCAUUUGGGAAUAUCAGGUGCUGUAGGUU
rnacentral:rRNA from 1 species